AUGGGCUUUUCUGGUCAAAACGUAUCUUGUCUUUAUCACUUUAUCAUGAGUUAUUUUCCUUGGUUAACAAUACUUGUUGUUUUGCCGAUAUUUGCAGGUUCAUUAAUUUUCUUUUUACCUCAUAAGGGAAACAAAGUCGUUAGGUGGUAUACUAUAUCUAUUUGUUUAUUAGAAUUCCUUCUAAUGACUUAUGCGUUCUGUUAUCAUUUCCAACUGGAGGAUCCCUUAAUCCAAUUAAAGGAGGAUUAUAAAUGGAUAGAUGUCUUCGAUUUCCACUGGAGAUUGGGAAUCGAUGGACUUUCAUUAGGAUCUAUUUUAUUGACAGGAUUUAUCACUACUUUAGCUACUUUAGCAGCUUGGCCAAUUACACGGAAUUCGCGAUUAUUCUAUUUCCUGAUGCUCGCAAUGUAUAGUGGUCAAAUAGGAUUAUUUUCUUCGCGAGACCUUUUACUUUUUUUUAUCAUGUGGGAGUUAGAAUUAAUUCCUGUUUACUUACUUUUAUCCAUGUGGGGGGGGGGAAGAGGCGUCUAUAUUCAGCUACAAAGUUUAUUUUGUAUACUGCAGGCGGUUCCAUUUUUUUCUUAA
rnacentral:rRNA from 1 species